rnacentral:rRNA from 1 species
UCCCUACGGGUGGCUGCAGUGGGGAAUAUUGGACAAUGGGGGGAACCCUGAUCCAGCCAUGCCGCGUGUGUGAAGAAGGCCUUUUGGUUGUAAAGCACUUUAAGUGGGGAGGAGGCUUACCUGGUUAAUACCUGGGCUAAGUGGACGUUACCCACAGAAUAAGCACCGGCUAACUCUGUGCCAGCAGCCGCGGGAAUACAGAGGGUGCGAGCGUUAAUCGGAGUUACUGGGCGUAAAGCGCGCGUAGGUGGUUAAUUAAGUCAAAUGUGAGAACCCCGAGCUUAACUUGGGAAUUGCAUUCGAUACUGGUUAGCUAGAGUAUGGGAGAGGAUGGUAGAAUUCCAGGUGUAGCGGUGAAAUGCGUAGAGAUCUGGAGGAAUACCGAUGGCGAAGGCAGCCAUCUGGCCUAAUACUGACACUGAGGUGCGAAAGCAUGGGGAGCAAACAGGAUUAGAUACCCUAGUAGUCGC